GACGAAGGGGGCUAGCGUUGUUCGGAAUUACUGGGCGUAAAGCGCGUGUAGGCGGUUGUCCAAGUUGGAUGUGAAAGCCUUGAGCUCAACUCAAGAAAUGCAUUCAGGACUGGAUGACUAGAGGACCGGAGAGGAUAGUGGAAUUCCCAGUGUAGUGGUGAAAUACGUAGAGAUUGGGAAGAACACCAGUGGCGAAGGCGGCUAUCUGGACGGUUUCUGACGCUAAGACGCGAAGGCGUGGGGAGCAAACAGG
rnacentral:rRNA from 1 species